GCGUUGCAUCAUUUCAUUUGGGGUCGAGUUUCUAUGUGAUGUGAGCAGGCUUCGGGCUGAGAGUGAGCUGUGUUCAUCUUCCUUUUUUUCAUUUGAUCUGCUGCACACCAUCCUUUUUGGAGACUGCUGUGCUGCACCUAUCUAAACCACCAUUCCCUAUUUUAUGGAUGGAAAGCUGCAAGUUUACAAUCUUCUCUUGUAAUAAGUCCCCUGGACCCUCAUGGACCCAGCAGGCAGAAGUCUGGAUCUUCAGACUGGGUUUUACCCAGUGAAAUGUCAUUGUUGGAGACCACUAUGUGCUCCUCACCUCACUGAGCGAUUAUUCUUCAUUCGUCUUGGACCUACUGCUACUGCU